rnacentral:rRNA from 1 species
GUUUACCAAAAACAUGGCUUCGUGUUGAGUUUCAGAUACGAAGUCGGACCUGCCCAGUGAGUUUUAAACGGCCGCGGUACUCUGACCGUGCAAAGGUAGCAUAAUCAUUUGCCUUAUAAUUGAAGGCUGGAAUGAAUGGUUUGACAAGAAUACAGCUGUCUCUUUUUGAUUAGUUAGAAUUUUAUUUUUAGGUGAAAAAGCCUAGAUGUUAUUAAAAGACAAGAAGACCCUAUCGAGCUUUAGAGAAGUUAGUAGAAUUUUAAUAAAUCAAUCAAUGUUAUAGUAAAAGAAAAACUAUUAAAUACUUUGGUUGGGGCAACCAAGGAGUAAGCAAAGCCUCCUUUAAACUAUAAGUCAUACUUGUAUUGAUCCAAGUAUAUUGAUCAAAGAAAUUAGUUACCGUAGGGAUAACAGCAUUAUCUUUUUUGAGAGCUCAUAUCGAAAAAAAGGUUUGUGACCUCGAUGUUGGACCAGAAUAUCCUAAAGAUGCAGAAGUCUUUAAAGGUUGGUCUGUUCGACCAUUAAAAUUCUACGUGAUCUGAGUUCAGACCGG